rnacentral:tRNA from 1 species
AAUGAGGUUCUGUGGGUAGAGUGCUUGCCUUGUGUGCAUGAAGUCCUGGGUUUGAUCCCCAGCAUU